rnacentral:misc_RNA from 1 species
UCCGGUUUGUCACCGGCAGUCUCCUCAGAGUCCCCGACUUUACUCGCUGGCAACAUAGGACAAGGGUUGCGCUCGUUGCGGGACUUAACCCAACACCUCACGACACGAGCUGACGACAGCCAUGCAGCACCUGUGUGUAGGUCCCGUAAGGGAAGGAAUCUGUCUCCAGAAACCGUCCUACCAUGUCAAACGCUGGUAAGGUUCUGCGCGUUGCUUCGAAUUAAACCACAUGCUCCACCGCUUGUGCAGGCCCCCGUCAAUUUCUUUGAGUUUUAACCUUGCGGCCGUACUCCCCAGGCGGGAAGCUUAAUGCGUUAGCUGCGCCACUGACAGGCAAGCCUGCCAACGGCUAGCAUCCAUCGUUUACGGCGUGGACUAC